CGAACGCUGGCGGCGUGCUUAACACAUGCAAGUCGAACGGAAAGGCCCUGCUUUUGUGGGGUGCUCGAGUGGCGAACGGGUGAGUAACACGUGAGUAACCUGCCCUUGACUUUGGGAUAACUUCAGGAAACUGGGGCUAAUACCGGAUAGGAGCUCCUGCUGCAUGGUGGGGGUUGGAAAGUUUCGGCGGUUGGGGAUGGACUCGCGGCUUAUCAGCUUGUUGGUGGGGUAGUGGCUUACCAAGGCUUUGACGGGUAGCCGGCCUGAGAAGGUGACCGGCCACAUUGGGACUGAGAUACGGCCCAGACUCCUACGGGAGGCAGCAGUGGGGAAUAAUGCACAAUGGGCGGAAGCCUGAUGCAGCAACGCCGCGUGCGGGAUGACGGCCUUCGGGUUGUAAACCGCUUUCGCCUGUGACGAAGCGUGAGUGACGGUAAUGGGUAAAGAAGCACGGGCUAACUACGUG
rnacentral:rRNA from 1 species